rnacentral:rRNA from 1 species
CCUACGGGGGGCUGCAGUAGGGAAUCUUCCACAAUGGGCGAAAGCCUGAUGGAGCAACGCUGCGUGGGUGAAGAAGGUCUUCGGAUCGUAAAACCCUGUUGUCAGAGAAGAAAGUGCGUGAGUGUAACUGUUCACGUUUCGACGGUAUCUAACCAGAAAGCCCCGGCUAACUACGUGCCAGCAGCCGCGGUAAUACGUAGGUGGCAAGCGUUAUCCGGAUUUAUUGGGCGUAAAGGGAAUGCAGGCGGGCGUUUAAGUCUGAUGUGAAAGCCUUCGGCUUAACCGGAGUAGUGCAUUGGAAACUGGGAGACUUGAGUGCAGGAGAGGAGAGUGGAACUCCAAGUGUAGCGGUGAAAUGCGUAGAUAUAUGGAAGAACACCAGUGGCGAAGGCGGCUCUCUGGUCUGUAACUGACGCUGAGGUUCGAAAGCGUGGGGAGCAAACAGGAUUAGAUACCCUAGUAGUC